CCUACGGGAGGCAGCAGUGGGGAAUAUUGCGCAAUGGGGGAAACCCUGAUGCAGCGACGCCGCGUGAGUGAAGAAGUAUUUCGGUACGUAAAGCUCUAUCAGCAGGGAAGAAAAUGACGGUACCUGACUAAGAAGCCCCGGCUAACUACGUGCCAGCAGCCGCGGUAAUACGUAGGGGGCAAGCGUUAUCCGGAUUUACUGGGUGUAAAGGGAGCGUAGACGGCAGCGCAAGUCUGGAGUGAAAUCCCAUGGCUGAACCAUGGAAUUGCUUUGGAAACUGUGCAGCGAGAGUGCAGGAGAGGUAAGCGGAAUUCCUAGUGUAGCGGUGAAAUGCGUAGAUAUUAGGAGGAACACCAGUGGCGAAGGCGGCUUACUGGACUGUAACUGACGUUGAGGCUCGAAAGCGUGGGGAGCAAACAGGAUUAGAUACCCCUGUAGUC
rnacentral:rRNA from 1 species